rnacentral:rRNA from 1 species
UACGGGGGGGGCAAGCGUUGUUCGGAAUUACUGGGCGUAAAGGGCUCGUAGGCGGCCAACUAAGCCAGACGUGAAAUCCCUCGGCUUAACCGGGGAACUGCGUCUGAUACUGGAUGGCUUGAGUUUGGGAGAGGGAUGCGGAAUUCCAGGUGUAGCGGUGAAAUGCGUAGAUAUCUGGAGGAACACCGGUGGCGAAGGCGGCAUCCUGGACCGACACUGACGCUGAGGAGCGAAAGCCAGGGGAGCAAACGGG